rnacentral:rRNA from 1 species
GAAUGCUAAUACCGGAUAACAACAGAUGAUGCCUAUCAACUGUUUAAAAGAUGGUUCUGCUAUCACUCUUGGAUGGACCUGCGGUGCAUUAGCUAGUUGGUAGGGUAACGGCCUACCAAGGCGAUGAUGCAUAGCCGAGUUGAGAGACUGAUCGGCCACAUUGGGACUGAGACACGGCCCAAACUCCUACGGGAGGCAGCAGUA